CAAUGCUGGCGGACUUGGCGG
rnacentral:misc_RNA from 1 species